UUUAAGUUCAACCAUAAGUUUCCAUGCCCAACUUUAACUGUCUGUCUUAUUUAAAAAAUUUUUAUAAUUAGUAUUUUUAUUGGUAUAAGAUGAUAAAACAUGAAUAGUAUGUGACUUAUGUUUUUAAUUUUUUUUAAAAAAAAUUUCAAAUAAAACGGACGGUCAAACUUGUGCACGAAAAAUCAUGGCUGCACUUAAA
rfam:Oryza glumipatula chromosome 10, whole genome shotgun sequence.